rnacentral:rRNA from 1 species
UACGUAGGCAGCAAGCGUUGUUCGGAGUUACUGGGCGUAAAGGGUGUGUAGGCGGUUCUUUAAGUUUGGUGUGAAAUCUCCCGGCUCAACUGGGAGGGUGCGCCGAAUACUGAGGGACUAGAGUACGGGAGAGGAAAGUGGAAUUCCUGGUGUAGCGGUGAAAUGCGUAGAUAUCUGGAGGAACACCGGUGGCGAAGGCGGCAUCCUGGACCAACACUGACGCUGAGGAGCGAAAGCCAGGGGAGCAAAGCGGG